CCUGCCUGGCGGAGGCCGGACUGUGGGGGUAGCGUCUGAAGCCUGCGCGACUGCGGCCUGUGCCAUGCCACCCCCUGGGAGCCUGAAAGACACAAAAUCAAGGCAGUUCCAUCAAGCACUUCGAGAGUGGAGCAGGUGGCAAGCCUUUCAAUCACCUUUACUGAGGUGAGGUGAGAAAAAAAGUUAGGGGUAGCUGGCACAUGUUCCUUUUCCCAGGAGAGAAAGUAAGUGUUCACUGAGCCAGCUGGGUAGAGUAAGGGUGGCUUGCUUGACUUCCCAGCCCAAGACGCAGAAGAUGCAGGGUUUCAUGCAUGCUAGGCACACGCUGUGCCACUGAGCUACACUUCCACCCUUUUCCUUCUUUCUGCCCCCACCUGUUUCUUUUUGACAGAAGAAAUACUUCAGAAAUUGGAACCGGAAAGGGCCAGAUUCCAAGCCCUGUACCCCUGCUCCCAUUUUACAGUGUGAGCCAGGAAUGACUUCUCUAUAAGAAGCCAUCCAGGGACCCUUAAGGAUUGACUUGGCACUAACCUGCUGAUGAAGAUCUUGGAGGGCUGAAGACAUUGCUCAAAGUCAGAAAUAUAUACACAACACUCACUUUUGAUUGCACAGGCCCUGCCCUGUGUUGUUGUCAGGAUAUCUGGAGCCAUUUAGUUCUGUAACACAACCUGUCUCAUCAAUUUGACUUCAGUGUUUAAAAGAGAAAUUACUGGGCCAGGGAUUUAGCUCAGUGGUUCUGGCG
ensembl:lncRNA